CAAGAUUUAAAAGUUUAGAGUUGAAAAGAUCUAACCAAUGGAAAGCAAUCCACAAGACAAGAAUGUCAGAUAGAAAUCCAUUUCCUUUGGACUUUUAAGCAAGCAACAAGCAUAAUCAUCCAAGAAAUUAAUAUGAAGAUCAAUGACAUCAAAUAAAGAUAGCCAAAACAUUCAAGCAAGCACUCCAAAAGCAAGUAGUCUUCAAUGUCUUUCACAGGUAUCAGAUGAAUAUCCCAUGUAACAAACUCACAGAGACAAGCAUCAGGCAGAAAUAGUAAAA
rnacentral:lncRNA from 1 species